UGUUGGAGAAGGGGAGCACGUGCAAGAUCAGACGGAGGGAGAGAGACGUUGCACGUGCCCUGCUUCUCCAAC
rnacentral:pre_miRNA from 1 species